rnacentral:rRNA from 1 species
AGCAGCCGCGGUAGUUCCAGCUCCAAUAGCGUAUAUUAAAGUUGUUGCAGUUAAAAAGCUCGUAGUUGAAUUUCGGGGUCAGUAGGUUGGUCGUGCCACUGGUAUGUACUGGCUUCACUGAUUCCUCCUCUUGUAGAACCGUAAUGCCAUUAAGUUGGUGUUGCGGGGAAACAGGACUGUUACUUUGAAAAAAUUAGAGUGUUUAAAGCAGGCUAACGCUUGAAUACAUUAGCAUGGAAUAAUGAAAUAGGACGUUUGAUCCUAUUUUGUUGGUUUCUAGGAUUGACGUAAUGAUUAAUAGGGAUAGUUGGGGGCAUUAGUAUUCAAUUGUCAGAGGUGAAAUUCUUGGAUUUAUUGAAGACUAACUACUGCGAAAGCAUUUGCCAAGGAUGUUUUCAUUAAUCAAGAACGAAAGUUAGGGGAUCGAAGACGAUCAGAUACCGUCGUAGUCUUAACCAUAAACUAUGCCGACUAGGGAUCGGAUGAUGUUAAUUUUUUAAUGACUCAUUCGGCGCCUUAC